CCGAGGGCCGGUCUGAGCUCUCUGACUCCCCCCCACACACACACAGACACACGGGGCCGUGCGGUGAGGACCCAUCACUGAUCGAUCAAUACAUCCAUCUGUCCGACACACCUGCCCUCCUCCGGGGGAACGCUCCACAGGGUUCAGACGUUUGACGGACAGAUGAAUGGCGCACUGGACCUCAGGUCACGUUAUCCAUUAAAAUACCUUCACUAUAUCAGAACGUAUUUCUGAUAUAGUGAAGGUAUUUUUCAGGUAUGAACUUGUUUCAGAGGUGAAAGGAAAUGCUGAAAUUGUUCAGGUUUCGAUCAGCCAAUCAGGUGAAAAUACGAACCAUCGUGUGGACCCGCCCACCAACAGGAUUCAAGCCACUCAAUUGGACGACACUGUUUCCACUCUUUAUUUACAAGUCCAUUAAAACAAGAGGACAACUUCAGUUUGGACAUGAAAUUAUAUUUCAGAUAUGACACUUUGUGAUCUGUGAUUUAGGGAUGAAAAUGUUACCAAGUGUGGAUUUUCCAUCACAUAUCUUUAACCCUUUGACAUAACAAGCUGAAGUGUCUGAAAUAUAAGCCCGGCACAGACGGGACUGACGACAAGACUGCAGACUGGGAGUUUCCCCUCACGUGUUUCUUGUUGGUGGCUUUGCUGGGCUGAGUCCAGAGACCGACUGGUGUCCCUUCGGUCAGGUCAUUUCCACAGUAAAACUACAUCCACACAAAACGUUCAGUCUACAGGAAACAUCUUUUCCUCUUGAAACACACUUUUAUCCUGAGCCUCCUCCUGUGGACACAAACUUUAAAUAAAUCAAUGUUAAGCUUCAGGUUGCAUAUUUCACCAUCCAGGAUUCACCACAAUCGUGUUCACGACAACACAAUACAACCAGCCUGCAUUCACAGAGAGAAAACUAAUGGAGACAUUUCACAUCAUUAAAAAUUCAGAUGACAGAAUAUUAGAUUUGUAUGUCAGACCUCAGCUGUUUUAAUUAUGGCAUCUGUUCUGAGACUAAUUAUGACAGAACUGCAUCAUAAUUACAAAAAAAUCUCUAAACGAGACGACAAGAUGAUAACCAGGUGAAAAUGAUUUCAUAGUGAGGGGCAAGCCGUCUCGUGAGACCACAUGAUAUCAGCCUGGUAACAGGGCUGAGUUGUUGGACGCACAGCGAGGCGAACCCGACCAGGAGAUCUUCGCUGACACCGUCUUGCUUGUAUAAAACGUUUAAUAAAAGAAGCACAGCAUCAGGUACAUGCAUGUGAGUGGAUCCAGGCCAAAUGAAGACCACUCUGCUGAAAUGUCUCUAGUUAUAUGCUUAUAUAGAUUAAAUGUUUACUUAAAGACAGAAGGAUACAUCUGGAAAUUGACCCAUGACCUUUCCAAUCACCAGGAAAUGUGGGAGAAGGACCAUCUUCCUCUUCCCUAUAUACUUUUGGACCUUUGGGGCCCCAGGAAAGCAUCACUGCACUACUCUACAAAUACCAUGUCAAUCAUACUAAUCUCCAGAUACUACACUGAACGUCAGAUACAGAGGAGUUCGUGUUUGUCACCGAGAGGCUGAUCACACCUGUUUGAACACCAAACAGGUGACAUCAGACAGGUGUUGAUGCCAGGUGUGAACAACCUCCCUCUUUCAGUGUGUUCUCAGUUUCAUCAGGGUGAGUUAGUUUUUCAUGAUAAUGAAGAAUUCAUUUUUAAAAACAAAACUGAAACGCAACUUUUUCAUAGUUUCAAAGUUUAUGUUUUCUAAAAGCAGAAAUCAGAGUUUUAUCAUACUUAGAAAACUUGAAUUUAUUCAAGGAGAUCUGAGGAAUCCCGUGAGACAUGGGACUGGGAGGAAAGCCUGGACAGAAACAUGCACAGGUGACAGGUGUGUACAGACGCAUGGACCUGAGGACACACACGUUUGGCUUUUGUUUGCACUGAUACAGUAAAUGUUGUAGAGUGAACAGAGUCAAUCUGAGGAGUCUUACGAGAAGAAAAAGCAACACUGACUCACCCCAAAACAUGAACCUGAUGUAAAACCUGAACUCCAGUCAAAUCAGAAUAAAAACUGACAUUUCAGUAUUCACCUGAUAUUUACAAAAGCAUCCUGGUGUCAGGAAGAUCAUGUGACACAGCUGAUGGUUAACUACCUCAAAAUUUAUUUGUUACUGAUCAGGCGAAGGAUAAGCUGAGAGAAGACUGAAUCAUGUGAUCAGAUCAGUCACGUUGUUAGUGAAUCUGUGCAAACAUGCAGGUUAACUGGAGACUACAGCUGCAGACAGCUGCAGACAUAGAUGGGUUCCAUGCGUGCACAUAUAGAGAGAAGAUGGAUUCUGGUUUGUUUGUUUGACUGAACAAGAAGAAAAUGUCCAUGAGUUCAGUCCAUAGGGAUGCUGUCACUGAGUUUGGGAGGUGGCCACACCAAAGCAGUGCCCCUGGAUGUCAGACAAGGGAAGACAACAAAAACUGGGGCACGGACUCAUGUGCCAAUCUGUAUGCAGCUACCUGUGCAGGUGCACUUCAGUGCAAAGUGCCCAGUGUGAGCUGGGACAGGUUGCUGUCCCUCAGGACCCACACCAGGUGUGGCGGACAAAUAAAGUUUACACCAAGUGAGAUGUGAUGGCUCUGAUGUAGCUGAACUGGGGGCAAACGGACUGUACUGGUGCUGAUGGACGAUUUGGUCAUUAAUGUUGUGCUUCUUUAUUUUAGUGAUCUUUCAUUGUGCUUCUGUGCUGUUGGCUGGUGGUGUGAUGAGCUGCUCAGCCAGCAGAGGGCAGCGUUGGUCCAAUGAGUCCUCCUCCUGUCAGACUGUACUGACCUCUGACCCUUGACCUUCCCUCUGUUCUGUGUGUUUGUCCUUUAUCCUUCUGUGGGCUCCGUUGCUAUGGGCUGCCUGGUCUGCAUGCUGGGUUGCUAUGGUAAUGCUGUUAAGCAGAGUAAUAGUAAUAAAGUCUAUUUACAGCAAAGACUUCAUUAACUGAG